GGUCCCUCUCGCCAUAGAGCGCGCGGAGGACAAGGUGACCAGAGGGUACCCAGACGGUACCCCUGUUAGAAGGAGCCAAUAGCGAAUGGGAGAAGGGGCGCGCGGGGAAACAGACCCGAGUGGCUUCUGCUCCCAAAGUUACCGUGUUCCAAGGCUGGCCUCAGUUACCCAUCUGAAAAAUGGGUGGUUUCUCAAGCCAAAACAGAUCCAACCUAGAAGAUUCUCUUGUCUGAGGUCACAGCAUUGAUGGCAUGCACUCUGCCUCCGUCCAGUUUACUCUUCACAUGGCAGCUAGAGGUUCCCCCCCACCCCACCGCACCCCCUACGGAGUCUUGCGCUCUGUCGCCCAGGCUUGACUGCAGUGGCGUGAUCUCGGCUCACUGCAACCUCUGUCUCCCGGGUUCAAGUGAUUUUCCUGCCUCAGCCUUCCAAGUAGCUGCGAUUACAAGGCGCCUGCCACCAUGCCCGGCUGAUUUUUGUAUUUUAUUACAUGUUGGCCAGGCUAGUCUGGAACUCCCAACCUGAAGCUAUCCGCCCGCCUCGGCCUCCCAAAGUGCUGGGAUUGCAGGCGUGAGCUACCACGACUGGUGGAGGGAUCUUUCUAAGACAUAAGACCAUAACAUACCCUCGCUACCAGCCUUUCACGGCCCUACUACCCUUAGGAGAAAACCCAAGCUCCUGAUUAGGAGACCAUGAAUAGUCUAACCUCAGGCAGCAUCUCCAGAUUCCACCCCUUCUGCAACCUCCACACACCAUACACCCUUCCUGUUUGUCCUUUCCAAGCCCUUUUAUAGCACUAAGUCCUGUGAGGCUAUACUCUGGCUCCCCUCCUGGAUGCAAAAGCUAUUCCACUCCCAAACCUCUUGUUAGUCUAACUCCAUCUCUCUCACUGGCCCUCAGCACAACUAACAAUCACCCUAAAGGGUAGAUAUUAGUAUCAUUUCCAUUUUACAGAUGAAGGCACAGACUUGCAGAAGUCUACGCAUUUGACCAAGGUCACAACAACAUAAGAAGGCGACAGAGCCAGAAUCAGGAAUCCCAGCUAAUUCCUGUGUCCUUAAUUCCCACUUUUUUUUUUUGAGAUGGAGUCUCACUUUGUCACCAAGCUGCAACCUCCGCCUCCUGGGUUCAAGAUUCUCCUGCCUCAGCCUCCCGAGUAGCUGGGACUACAGGCACAAGCCACCACACCCGGCUAAUUUUUGUAUUUUUAGUAGAGAUGAGGUUUCACCAUGUUGGACAGGAUGGUCUUGAUCUCUUGACCUUGUGAUCCUCCCUCCUCAGCCUCCCAAAGUGCUGGGAUUAUAGGUGUGAGCCACCUCACCCAGCCCCCUUACUUCCCACUCUACCGCUUCUGUAUGUGCCAGAGCCUAUCUUGGUGGGCUAGUAAAUUUUUUUGUUUUGUUUUGUUGGGUUUGUUUUCUUUUUGGGUUGGGGGAAAAGGAGACUGCCAUAAAUUUGAAUUCUGGGUUUGACCAGCUAAAUCCUUUCCUGACUGUGUGACCUUGGGGAAGUGAUCACCUCUUCUGAGCCUCAGUUUCAACCUCUGUAAAGUGGGGAUAAUAAUUAUGCCCAUCAUACAGGAUUAGAGGAGAGUUUGAUAACAUGAGUACAGUAUUUGCCAGAGAGCCUGACACAGAACAGUACUUUCAUAUUCACUCCAUUACAAAUACUCAAAGUGGGCUGGGCACAGUGGCUCACACCUAUAAUUGCAGCACUUUGGGAAGCCAAGGUAGGCAGAUCACUUGAGGUCAGGAGUUCAAGACCAGCCUGGCCAACAUGGCAAAACCCUGUCUCUACUAAAAAUACAAAAAAUUAGCUGGGCAUGAUGGUGUGCGCCUAAAGUCCCAGUUUCUAGGGAGGUUAAAGCAGGAGAAUUGCCUGAACCUGGGAGGCAGAGGUCACAGUGAGGCAAGAUCAUGCCACUGCACUCCAGCCUGGGCUAGAGUGAGACUCUGUCUCAAAAAACAACCAACCAACCAACCAAUCAAAUACUCAGUCAGGCAGAGUACCUAGUGCUGUGAUGGGACGUCCAAAGGGGGUUUAGGGGGACUUUGUCCAAUUGGGGCAGGGAGGGAAGGCUUCCUGGAGUAGCUG